CUAGAGACCGGCGCACGGGUGCGUAACGCGUAUGCAAUCUACCCUUUGCAGAGGGAUAGCCCAGAGAAAUUUGGAUUAAUACCUCAUAGUAUAGUGAUACCGCAUGGUACUACUAUUAAAGUCACAACGGCAAAAGAUGAGCAUGCGUCCCAUUAGCUAGUUGGUAAGGUAACGGCUUACCAAGGCAACGAUGGGUAGGGGUCCUGAGAGGGAGAUCCCCCACACUGGUACUGAGACACGGACCAGACUCCUACGGGAGGCAGCAGUGAGGAAUAUUGGACAAUGGGCGCAAGCCUGAUCCAGCCAUGCCGCGUGCAGGAUGACGGUCCUAUGGAUUGUAAACUGCUUUUAUACGAGAAGAAACAUCCCGACGUGUCGGGACUUGACGGUAUCGUAAGAAUAAGGAUCGGCUAACUCCGUGCCAGCAGCCGCGGUAAUACGGAGGAUCCAAGCGUUAUCCGGAAUCAUUGGGUUUAAAGGGUCCGUAGGCGGUCUUAUAAGUCAGUGGUGAAAUCUCCCCGCUCAACGGGGAAACGGCCAUUGAUACUGUAGGACUUGAAUUAUUAGGAAGUAACUAGAAUAUGUAGUGUAGCGGUGAAAUGCUUAGAGAUUACAUGGAAUACCAAUUGCGAAGGCAGGUUACUACUAAUGGAUUGACGCUGAUGGACGAAAGCGUGGGUAGCGAACAGGAUUAGAUACCCUGGUAGUCCACGCCGUAAACGAUGGAUACUAGCUGUUGGGAGUAAUCUCAGUGGCUAAGCGAAAGUGAUAAGUAUCCCACCUGGGGAGUACGUUCGCAAGAAUGAAACUCAAAGGAAUUGACGGGGGCCCGCACAAGCGGUGGAGCAUGUGGUUUAAUUCGAUGAUACGCGAGGAANNUUACCANGGCUUAAAUGUAGAUUGACCGUUUUNNAA
rnacentral:rRNA from 1 species